GCAUAAGCUGCACUUUUACAGCAACAUGAGUUACUGGUGUCACUUAAGAAGUUCCAGCACCCUUCUACUUCUGCUGUUCAUCACUAUCCUCCCACUGCUCUUUCUGUUAUGCUGGCAAAACCAUUCAUAUGAACUCUCUUAUGAACUUAAUCAAAGAAAUGGUGACAUAAAGGCAUGAACAAGCAGCCUGCAGUGUCACUGUUGUUAACUUAGAGCAGCGUGAAAAUGCUUGGGCUAAUUUUAAACAAGCAGCCUUUGAAACAAUCUAUCUGCGUGGUGCUAAGCAUGGACUCUCUUGGUUUGCUUCUGAGCAGAAGACUUGACUAUCUGUGGGAAAGAAGGCAGAUGGGAGAGAAGAUGCCUAGUUGUAAAAUAAAAGAUUGAAAGGACAAAGAAUAAUGGAAGAACUUCUAUUUUUGACAGCUAUACAUCUUAAAUGCAUACAAAACUUAAAAUUUGGAAGGCAGCACACUCCCAAACACUUCGCAGUUGCUGUCAUUGGGCAUUUUGUGUCAGAAAUAUGAUUCUGACUGACAUUUGUGGGAGUAGCAUUCACAGGAAAGAUUGUACUGAAAAGUAGCUUUGAUUUGGCAUGUCUAUAUUGUACCAUAAAACAUAGUAUAGAUAUUCC
rnacentral:lncRNA from 1 species